UGCACUCAAUAUUGUAAGUUGCUUUUGAUAAGAGCGUCUGCUAAAUGACUUAAA
rfam:Salmo salar isolate Sally breed double haploid chromosome ssa01, whole genome shotgun sequence.